rnacentral:rRNA from 1 species
AUUGAACGCUGGCGGCAGGCCUAACACAUGCAAGUCGAACGAGUGGCGGACGGGUGAGUAAUGUCUGGGAAACUGCCUGAUGGAGGGGGAUAACUACUGGAAACGGUAGUUAAUACCGCAUACCAUCGGAUGUGCCCAUAUGGGAUUAGCUAGUAGGUGGGGUAACGGCUCACCUAGGCGACGAUCCCUAGCUGGUCUGAGAGGAUGACCAGCCACACUGGAACUGAGACAAGGUCCAGACUCGUACGGGAAGCAGCAGUGGGGAAUAGUGCGGAAGGGGCGCAAGCCAGAUGCAGCCAUGCCGCGUGAAUGAAGAAGGCCUGCGGGUUGUAAAGUACUUUCAGCGGGGAGGCGUUACCUGCAGAAGAAGCACCGGCUAACUCCGUGCCAGCAGCCGCGGUAAUAC